rnacentral:ncRNA from 2 species
CAUCCCGUUGCGGGAGAGUGCAUACGCAACAUGCCGCCGAAGGCGUAACCCACCCGGAAUCGCUCAGGCAAAAGGACCGCAACACCGGA